GCUGAUGUAUCUCAGUUGGUAGAGUGCAUGCCUAGCAAACAUGAGACCCUGGGUCCAAUUCUCAGCAGCA
rnacentral:tRNA from 1 species